rnacentral:miRNA from 2 species
GGGUCGACAUGAGAACACAUG